GCACUCGCUAUGGUAGCGCAUAAACGAACAUGGGAACCGGACAGGGAAGAUCAGCACGACCCCUGCCCAAGGAUGACCCGGCGUUCGGGAUGCGUCCGCCUGCUUC
ensembl:snRNA U6 U6 spliceosomal RNA